UUUAAAUAUGUUAUGAAUUGAUAAAUUGUUUGUGUGAUAUAACUAAUUUUAUUUGUCUAGAUGAGAUUUAUUAUUUAUAUAUAUUAUGUAUAUAUUUAUAUUUGUUCGUGUAUGUAUGCAUGUGAUUUGUGAAGUUUGAAUAUAAAGAUUUGAAAUCUUUAGUGUAUACACAUUUGAAGGAGUAUUGACGUGAUUUAGAAAUAAUAUAAGUACAUUUUACUAUAGGAAUAUAAUUGAGUUAUUUUUUUUUAUUGUAUUGUAUUAAUUAUUUACUUUCAAAAUUAAACUAUUAUAGUAUUAUUAUAGGUAUAAAUAAGGAUCAAUUAGUGUAAGGGAUAUAUAUAUUAUAUUUAAUUUAUAUAAUUGUAUAUAUAUAACAUAUUUACAUUGGAAAUUUAAUUAAUUGGUAAGUAUCUAUUAUUAUACUAGGUGAAUGUACGUGCCGAUCCACGUAUUGCUAAUUUUAUUUAAGAUUUUAGUCUUUUUAAGAUUUUAAAUAUAUUUUAAAUAUUUGAAAAAAUAUUUAAAAUAUAUUAAAGAUAGAAAUGGUAUUUCUGCUAAACCAUGACACUUGAAUCAUCUGGGGUCUCUAAACCCUAAACCCUAAACCCUAGACCCUAAACUCUAAACCCUAAACCCUAAACCCUAUUGAUAUAACUAAUUUUAUUUGUCUAGAUGAGAUUUAUUAUUUAUAUAUUUUAUUUUUAAAGAUUACAAAUUUUUUUCUUGAAAAAAUUAAAUAUUUAUAUUUGAAAUAUCUUUAUAUAUUUGAAAAAAUUAAAGAUAGAAAUGGUAUUUCUGCUAAACCAUGACACUUGAAUCAUCGGGGCGAAUUAACACCAACCAAUAAGAAAGAAAAAAAACAGAGAACGGUUUCAAGGUGGAGUAUUGUGUUUAAUAUAUGAGUUUGCACGAUCAGAUUUAGAACAAUUACAAAUAAUGAGAAAGUAGAUACAAAAUUAAAUCUAAUCAAAUUUAAAUUUAAAUGGUAUAUGAUUUAGAUAUUUUUAAUUAAUCUAUUUAAUAUUUAAUAAUUAUUUAGUCAAAAAAAAAAUCUACAAACAUCAUAGUGAAAAAAAUAAUAACAAUAAAAAAAAUAGUUAUCCUUAUAUGAUAGAAAAAUAGAAAAAUUAAAUUUUAUCAUCAAUUAAAAUUAAUAAUUAUACCUGUAUAAUUAAUAGGUUAAAAAACAGAGUAAUGACCUAUAUUAUAGAUAGAUAUAUAGAUUAUGGAGUGCAAACACUUGGACUAAUUUGAUGACUCUCUAUUGCCAAAAAUUUAUUCACAUUAGAAUAGAAAAGAAAUUAAUAAAGCAAUUAAAAAGAAUAACAUCACAUUAUGCAUCGCAAUAAAAAAAAAAAGAUUUUUUAAAAAAAUAAAUAAAAAAAAUUAUUAAUAUUCUCCCUAUAUAGGUUUGUUAGAGAGAUAUGUGGCUAAGAUGAUUUUUUUAAUUUAAAAAUAGAUUAUUAAUAUUUAAAAGAUUGUUUAUUUUUUUGAUUUGAUUCUUGAGUUUAUUUGUUAACGGGAGAUCAAACCUAAUCGUUAAACUUAACAGAAUAUUUUUUUUUAUUUUUAGGUAUAUUCUGUUAAACCAAAAAAUGUCGUUAAAUAGGCACUUUUAAUAUAUAAAGAUAUGCAUGGAAAAAGAGAGAGAUAUACGAAAUAGAUGGUUAGUUAGAUUCAAAUGAUUUGAAUUAAAGAUUUGUUUUUAUUAUAAAAUAGUAUUUUUAAAAUAGUUUUAAGAGGAUAGUUAGUUAGGUUAUACUAAGGAGAACGUCUAAUACUACUCACAUUGAAAACCUAUUCUGCCUCUUCUCCUCCAUAUUGUGCUACCUUCACAUUCUAAAAUUCUUGUGUUCUCAUUUCAUUCCAGCCAAAUACAAACCUAAAACCAUCACCACCUUCUCCUUGUGUAGUACAUCAUCAACCGUAAGGGUGAAUAUGAUUCUAAGACUUUGGGAAAAUCAAAGGAUAGCAAAAAGAAUAAAAGUGUUCGAGUGAUUUGAAUGGUUGAUCGAGUGUUGGAAAUCACAAUUCGAAAUCCCUGACACCUCAAUCAUUCGUUGGGUAGUAGUGACGAGAUAACAAGUCUUAAGCAGCGGGAUUUGGGGUAUUAGACAGGAAAGUAUGUAUAGUGAGCAGGGUCAGUUCUGGUACGUAUACUGUGAGCGGCUACGGACGGGCAAACGAUCUAGAACGCCGGUGGUGCCUUAGUUUUAUUUUAAGAAGUUGAUAAAUCUAACACAGUGAAAAUGCAUUAUUUAAAAGUAUUUAUUUACUGUAUCUUGUUUUACAAAUGAAGGAUCCUUCUCUAUUGCCUUUUGAUUUUUAAAAUCCACUGUUGUAUUUAAAUUAUUAUUUUUUUUCAUCUUCUCAAAUUAUGCAUGAAAAUAGUAUUUUUUGUAAAAUAAGACAAAAUAUCGGGGCGUUACAACAUUGGACUGGGACCGAUAUUAAUCUUGGUAAAGAUAUUAUAAUCUUA